AUUUAUCUGCCUUUGUUGUGAUUAAAGGCUUGAACCGCCAGCCUCUGGCUUUUCCUAGUUUGAGGCACUUGACUGCACUCGAAAGGAUGGGAGUAGGCUCUCUCUUUGGAUGGAGAAGACAGACAAAAAUCUGAGUAGCACAAUGAACGGCAGGUGUUUUGGUUUGAAGAAAAGUGUUUACUGAAGUAUUCGGUUUGGAUUGUUUCUAUUUUCUCAGACAUGGCUGACCUUAAAGCAGCUUACAGUUUGGAGACAGACCUGUUUAGUGAUAAAAAUUGAACACUUUGCUGGUAGUCCAGGGUCCUGUGACAUUCUGGGAUUUUCAAGCUACCUCCCAGGAUGAGUACAGGCUCUCCUGAUGUUUUCUUUAUGAAAAGGUUCUGAUAGCAGCGCCAAACAUCCAUACUUGUUGAUGCAUAGGUCGGUGUCUGGGCCAGACUCUGAGCCAUGCCAGGAAAUCAUGUCUUCACAAUCCCAGCUAAAGUGAGGUCUGAGGAAAGCAUGAGCCGGGUGUAAAUGGAACAAACAACAAAGAUCUCUUAUCAUCCUCCUGCAGUUUUGGUUAUUUGGAGUUUGUCAUCUAUUCCUACUAAUAAAGUUCUUUUUUUCCAUUUA